rnacentral:rRNA from 1 species
AUUGAACGCUGGCGGCAGGCCUAACACAUGCAAGUCGAACGCGUGGCGGACGGGUGAGUAAUACAUCGGACUCUACUCUGUCGUGGGGGAUAACGUAGGGAAACUUACGCUAAUACCGCAUACGAUUGAAUGCGCCGAUGUCGGAUUAGCUAGUAGGCGGGGUAAAGGCCCACCUAGGCGACGAUCCGUAGCUGGUCUGAGAGGAUGAUCAGCCACACUGGAACUGAGACACGGUCCAGACUCCUACGGGAGGCAGCAGUGGGGAAUAUUGGACAAUGGGCGCAAGCCUGAUCCAGCCAUGCCGCGUGGAUGAAGAAGGCCUUCGGGUUGUAAAGCACUUUUGUUGGGAAAGCGGUACCCAAAGAAUAAGCACCGGCUAACUUCGUGCCAGCCGCCGCGGUAAUAC